AGAUGUUAAAAGCAAGAGACAUGGGAGAGCAUCAUUCCUUUGAGAUUUUAUAAAUCAAACCAAGUUUGGAGUUGUCUUGUCUGAUUUGGAGAGUCAUCAUUCUUGGUCUUCGCUCUUAGAGGCCACUGAUGAAGAGCAGGCGGUGACUGGGAUGAAUGCUGGUCAGAGAGGAGAAUCUUCUUUCCCCUAAACAGCACUGGUUUUAAAGGAGGACGCUGCCCUGGAUGAUGUAGAAGAUGUCACAUGCUGUGCUGAUGGGGCUUCUUCAUGACUACAUCAGUUAUGCUAAAGAGAUCAUGAAAAUUGACCGUGAUGCAUGAUCUGUAUUAAUGGACUAUGAAACAAACUGUAAGUGUAUAAUUUGUUAAAAAAAAAAAAGUUAAAUGCUUUUUCUGUGUUGUUUAGUAGAAGAGUUUACACUCUGUCAUUCAUACACCUGCUCACAUUCUUUCACACACACACACACACGCGUCUGUUAAAUGUUAUAAUAUCAAAGUUAAUGUUGUGAUUUAUUUGUGUACUGUCAUGCCAGAAUAGUUGGAAAAAAACCUAACUAAUUGUAAAUUUAUUGUAGGUGUUUUCGUAUAUUUUUGUACAAUAUAUACAAUUGAACAAAGUCCAAUUUGAUCUUAAGUUAUAUUCAUCAAAUGUUCAAUGCUUUAUGAACUCUGUAGCUGUUAAUGCCAUCCUUUUCUGCAUUUCUUCUAACAUGUUACUUUUUGACUUUUCUCUUGUUUUUAAUAAAUAUUUUCCUUUUGAUAAUUAUUAUUUGUGUGUUAAAGUGAUAUUUAAAAUGAACAACAUUUGUAGGUUUAAUGCCUAGCUCAAUUUGGGUUAAUUUUAACGUAGAAAUGCAUUGUUUCCCCACAUGGCUACACUGCGAGUUUAUUUUCUGCCAGCAGGAGGCGCUAAGAGCGGGAGAGGUAGGUUUCUCCGGUAACGGCUGCAGAGCGGUGCUGCUGAGCUCACAAACGCUGCCUUAUCAAGCACAUGCGAAAUGAUAUCGAACAUUUUCUGAAUACAGUAGUUUUCCUUCUGAAAUACAGUGAUAAAAAACACCCGCUCUGGUUUUUGAAACCCUGCAAUAUAGUCAUUUUAAACCAUAAAAAAUGGCAACCCAGCAGGCUGGGUUAAAUAUGAUAACCCAACUGGUUGGGUUAAAAUAACCCAGCGCUGGGUUCGUCCCUUUUUGACCCAGCGCUGGGUUGUCAAAAUAACCCAAAUUGGGUUGUUUUCAACCCAGCAGUUUUUAGAGUGUAUACACUCCUAUUCCUAACUUCUUUUUUUUACUAAAUGUACAUUUUAUAAUCCUAUUAUUUGAGAAAAGUUGUGUGUGAUACUAUUAGGAUUAGUUCCAAAUUAUGAUUCCAUAGCAUUGCUUUAUUGCGAUUUCUUAAUAAAGCAAAUGUUUAAUUGCAAGUUUAUUAUAUGAAGCAAGCAGAGUUUGUUUGUGAAGUCUCAGAGAACACAACAACACAUUCCAAUGUGUUUUAGGGUUUGUUUCACACUCACAUGAACAUCAUAUGAUCACAGCAUCUCACAGUCAGAUCAGAGACACCAGCGGAUGAUUAAAUCAUUAAGAACAGAGUCAAAGACAAACAUACUGGGUAGAAAUGUAUGUGAUACCCAUAAACUCACAUCUAAUGCAUGCAUUUUCAAUGUUUCAUUUAUUUAUUUUUUAUUAAUGCUAUCAUUUUCAGUAACAAUGCAGAGUGAGUUUUGAGUUCCUCUGAUGAGGUGCGAUGGGAAGGUCAUAGGUCAAAGUGAAGCUUAAUGUGUUUCUGAGUCUGUGUCACUGUGUCAUUAAACUCUUUAUCCAGUGAUUAAUCAUCAUCAUCCUCCUCCUCAGUUCUGCCACCAGCAAGUUUCGGAACAGGCAAAAACAGGUCCGUUAUUGACUCACUGCUACUUAAUAUUGACUCAUGGGGAGGUUUGAAUCUCCUUGGGUAAUAACAAUGCACUGUUGAGUGCUGUGUGAUAUUUUAAUCUUAAGCACAGACACUCAAAAUGUAUUAUCUUAACAUGCAAUUUGUUUAUUAAACAAACUAUUCCAUGAUAAACCGUUUAAAAUAUUAAAUAUAUAUUACUAAUAUUAUGUAUAAUAUUACAUUUCUGUAUACAUAUAUGUAUGAUAUAAUAUUGAAUAUUUCUGUGUUUAUGUGCAUUUGUAUAUAUACAUAAAUAUUUGUAUAAAAUUUUUUAAUGUA